rnacentral:rRNA from 1 species
GAUGAACGCUGGCGGCGUGCCUAACACAUGCAAGUCGAACGGAGAUUAGACGCUGACGAGACUUCGGUCAAAUCUUGUUUAAUCUUAGUGGCGGACGGGUGAGUAACGCGUGGGCAACCUGCCUCAUACUGGGGGAUAGCAGUUGGAAACGACUGAUAAUACCGCAUAAGCGCACAGCAUCGCAUGAUGCAGUGUGAAAAACUCCGGUGGUAUGAGAUGGGCCCGCGUCAGAUUAGCUAGUUGGUAAGGUAACGGCUUACCAAGGCGACGAUCUGUAGCCGGACUGAGAGGUCGGACGGCCACAUUGGGACUGAGACACGGCCCAAACUCC